rnacentral:lncRNA from 1 species
GUGGAAGGUGGUUGAGUGCCUACAACGGAAACCACAGCACUGGGGUUUGCAGAGUGAUUUCGGGUCACUCCGUCUGAACGCCGUGCUCUGAUGAACAUCAGGCAUGGGGAGGAGCUGGUUGGUUGGGGCUGCAGGAAUCCUGCUGCUGUUGGGCUGCCUUGAAGCCUUGAAGACCAUCUCAUACUCAUCCCUUCUGCCCCACACAGGUGCUGGAGGGAUGGAGCCAGAGACCUGCAGCCCCCUAGGUGAUUUCCCCCCACCGGCUCUCCUACCAAACAUCUCUUCGGCUCAGGAAGGCAAUCUGGUUCUGGCCCGUUGCCUGGUUUUCUCCCAUCUCCCCGUCACCCACAUCUUCUUCUGCAAGAACGGGGUGGUGGUGGAGAACCACCCCGUGGGUCCCCAGCAGUUCACUGCCACGCUCACCAUCCAGCUUUCUGCAGAGAGCAGCGGAACCUACUGCUGUGGGUACCGACGGCGGAGCAACGUCGGGCACAUCAAGAUCUCAAGUUUGAGCAUCCCAUGGCUCCUGACCACCAGAGGUAAGCGUGGGCAAUAGGAC